GGACCCGCACAAGUAGUGGAGCAUGUGGUUUAAUUCGAAGAUACGCGCAGAACCUUACCAACACUUGACAUGUUCGUCGCGACUCUAAGAGAUUAGAGUUUUCGGUUCGGCCGGACGAAACACAGGUGCUGCAUGGCUGUCGUCAGCUCGUGUCGUGAGAUGUUGGGUUAAGUCCCGCAACGAGCGCAACCCUCACUUUUAGUUGCCACCAUUCAGUUGGGCACUUUAAAAGAACUGCCAGUGAUAAGCUGGAGGAAGGUGGGGAUGACGUCAAGUCCUCAUGGCCCUUACGUGUUGGGCUACACACGUGCUACAAUGGUAUCUACAACAGGAAGCAAGACGGCGACGUCAAGCAAAUCCUUAAAACCGGUCUCAGUUCGGAUCGGGGUCUGCAACUCGGCCCGUGAAGCUGGAAUCGCUAGUAAUCG
rnacentral:rRNA from 1 species